GGUUUCUUUUAGCAUCAACUACAUCGGGACCAAACAGAGAAGGAACCAUGUAUACAUCGCACUGAACCGGCAGAGACAACGUCAAGAAUCUUGAGUUCUCAAGUUUUCCUUAUUCUCAAUGUAUAAGCAUGUAGCUUAGGAUCAUAGCUGUAUCGCCCAUUAUUCUGAAAGCAGUAGCAGCCAAACAGUUUUUCUUCAUAUUUUUUAUCGCGCCGCAAGUUAUUUGUGGGCAACUGAAUCACGAGUGGCUGCCACAUCGGUGUUCAGUCAAAUGGGAUUACAAUUUUGACAGAGAUAAAUGGGAUUACAAAUUUGACAGAGAACUAUGUU
rnacentral:sRNA from 1 species